rnacentral:rRNA from 1 species
UACGUAGGGGGCAAGCGUUGUCCGGAAUCAUUGGGCGUAAAGCGCGUGUAGGCGGCUUGGUAAGUCCGUUCUGAAAGCCCGGGGCUCAACCCCGGGAGGCGGAUGGAUACUGUCAGGCUUGAGUCCGGAAGAGGCGAGUGGAAUUCCCGGUGUAGCGGUGAAAUGCGCAGAUAUCGGGAGGAACACCAAUGGCGAAGGCAGCUCGCUGGGACGUGACUGACGCUGAGACGCGAAAGCGUGGGGAGCAAACAGG